UACGUAGGGGGCAAGCGUUGUCCGGAAUCAUUGGGCGUAAAGAGCGUGUAGGCGGUCCGGUCAGUCGGUUGUGAAAGUCAAGGGCUCAACCCUUGAAUGCCGGCCGAUACUGCCGGGCUAGAGUCCGGAAGAGGUGAGUGGAAUUCCUAGUGUAGAGGUGAAAUUCGUAGAUAUUAGGAAGAACACCGGUGGCGAAGGCGGCCCACUGGAUCGGUACUGACGCUGAGGUGCGAAAGCGUGGGGAGCAAACAGG
rnacentral:rRNA from 1 species